UCCGUAGGGUGAACCUGCGGAGGGAUCAUU
rnacentral:rRNA from 2 species